rnacentral:rRNA from 1 species
UACGUAGGGGGCAAGCGUUGUCCGGAAUCAUUGGGCGUAAAGCGCGUGUAGGCGGCUCGGUAAGUCUGUUCUGAAAGUCCAAGGCUCAACCUUGGGAUGCGGAUGGAUACUGCCGAGCUCGAGUCCGGAAGAGGCGAGUGGAAUUCCUGGUGUAGCGGUGAAAUGCGCAGAUAUCAGGAGGAACACCAAUGGCGAAGGCAGCUCGCUGGGACGUGACUGACGCUGAGACGCGAAAGCGUGGGGAGCAAACAGG